rnacentral:rRNA from 1 species
GACGAACGCUGGCGGCGUGCUUAACACAUGCAAGUCGAACGGAAAGACCCUGCUUUUGUGGGGUGCUCGAGUGGCGAACGGGUGAGUAACACGUGAGUAACCUGCCCUUGACUUUGGGAUAACUUCAGGAAACUGGGGCUAAUACCGGAUAGGAGCUCCUGCUGCAUGGUGGGGGUUGAAAAGUUUCGGCGGUUGGGGAUGGACUCGCGGCUUAUCAGCUUGUUGGUGGGGUAGUGGCUUACCAAGGCUUUGACGGGUAGCCGGCCUGAGAGGGUGACCGGCCACAUUGGGACUGAGAUACGGCCCAGACUCCUACGGGAGGCAGCAGUGGGGAAUAUUGCACAAUGGGCGGAAGCCUGAUGCAGCAACGCCGCGUGCGGGAUGACGGCCUUCGGGUUGUAAACCGCUUUCGCCUGUGACGAAGCGUGAGUGACGGUAAUGGGUAAAGAAGCACCGGCUAACUACGUG